UCCCUGGUAGCUCAAUCGGCAGAGCGGGUGACUGUUAAUCACUAGGUUGGCGGUUCAAGUCCGUCCCGGGGAG
rfam:Desulfovibrio alaskensis G20, complete genome.